rnacentral:ncRNA from 1 species
GUAGAGUAGGUAUUGCGCGUCAAGUGUCUCAAAGGAUGGGAAGUUGCCUGAGAACGAAGGAGAGAUUCCACGAUGCAAUGCCGCGUCCGCUA